GACGAACGCUGGCGGCGUGCUUAACACAUGCAAGUCGAACGGUAAGGCCUUUCGGGUUACACGAGUGGCUAACGGGUGAGUGACACGUUGGUGAUCUGCCCUGCACUUCGGGAUAAGCCCGGGAAACUGGGUCUAAUACCGUAUAGGACUGCACGGUGCAUGCCGGGUGGUGGAAAGAUUGAUCGGUGCAGGAUGGGCCCGCGGCCUAUCAGCUUGUUGGUGGGGUAAUGGCCUACCAAGGCGACGACGGGUAGCCGGCCUGAGAGUGCGACCGGCGACAAUGGGACUGAGACACGCAGCAGAAUCCUACCGGAGGCAGCAGUGGGGAACAUUGCAGAAUGGGGGCAAGCCUGAUGCAGCGACGCCGCGUGCGGGAUGACGGCCUUCGGGUUGUAAACAUCUUUCAGCAGGGACGAAGCGUGAGUGACGGUACCUGAAGAAGAAGCACCGGCUAACUACGUG
rnacentral:rRNA from 1 species